rnacentral:rRNA from 1 species
CAGUCGCCACGGGAAUACGAAGGGUGCAAGCGUUAAUCGGAAUUACUGGGCGUAAAGCGCGCGUAGGUGGUUUGGUAAGAUGGAUGUGAAAUCCCCGGGCUCAACCUGGGAACUGCAUCCAUAACUGCCUGACUAGAGUACGGUAGAGGGUGGUGGAAUUUCCUGUGUAGCGGUGAAAUGCGUAGAUAUAGGAAGGAACACCAGUGGCGAAGGCGACCACCUGGACUGAUACUGACACUGAGGUGCGAAAGCGUGGGGAGCAAACAGGAUUAGAUACCCCGGUAGUCCCUGUCUCUUAUAC